CAGAUUAUGAAUCUACCGCUCUUAACCACUACACCACACUGGCUCUCAUUUCAAUGUUCCCUGACUGAAUCUGGAGAGCCAUUCCUGCCAGCCAGUGUGGACAAUACUGAGCUGGAUGGGCUACUGGUCUGAUUCAAUAACCAGAAACCCCAUCAUGAGUGGGCUAAUGAUGCGACUAACAUCCAUUCUGGUUUGGCCCUGGGAGGUCCGUGAGCCAGGUGUGAUGGAAACAGGCGACGCUGAAGUUGGUUCCUUCUCUGUGUGCAUGUUCAAAAUGCAGCUCCAUCAGCCAGAGGUUUGCUUCAGCAGCCAUUCUUCAGAGCGGGAGAGGGACUUGGACCCACUCCCGUUUCUGUUGGACUACAACUCCCAGAAUCCUUGACCAUGCUGCAAAAAGUUCCUUACUACAAAAGGUCUGGGUUUGGGGGAGAUGGCAGUGCAGGCUUUUUCUGCAUGAGCCGUAAUCAGUGUUAACUGUGCAACCUGCAUUUCUAGGUAACUUCUACAAAGAGAAGACAAAAGGGUAUAUAAAAGAGCCUCUGUACCAUAAGUGUACCUGGGCAAUUCCUGCUUGAGACACCAAGGGUGUCCCUUUGUGAUCUGCCACGGAGUUGCAGGUGCCACAUAACUCUUCUUUUGAACCUGUAAGUAAAAAUAUUUUACUGUGGCAGCACCUAGCCUUUGAGACUCCCUGCCUCUUGACAUCAGGCAGGCACCUUCUCUGUUUUCUUUUCAGCACCUAUUUAAAAUAUAUUUGCAUAGGCACUCCUAUCCAGAUAUGUAGAAUGCUGAAAUGUGUUAAUCUAUUUUUGCUUACUGUUGAUUUCAAUAAUCUCUUGAAUAUUUAUCAAUACCCAUUUUAAAAUAUUGUCUAUUGAGAAUUUUAA